GCUGGGGACAGGUGGAAGAGGUGGGCUCCCGGGUCUCUCUGCUGUGGACGAGAGGCGGCCGUGCUUGCCGGCCGGGUCCGAGCUUUGCAAAUGAGUUCCCGGCGCCCUCCUGCGUGACCUCCCAACUCUCGGAGUGCACGAAGGGGGUGGUACCUAGAAGUUAGGGCGGGGUCGCCGGAGUGCAAGGGUGGGACGGUAAGUUCUUCUAGAAGGAUACCACACUCCCCCCCCCCCCCUUCGGAAAAGAACGUCUUGCAGGACUUGGCACGGGCUGCUGGGAGGCUUGUCCUACCUUAGGGUCUUGCUGUCCCAGGUUUGGCGGCUGAACCUGAAAGCGCUCAGGGCCCUGGGCUUGCACACCGUUUCACUUGUUCUCCAUAGGGGGCUGGGAGAGAGCCGAGGGACGCCAUUACUUCUCUCCAUUCUACAGAUUUGAAAACUGAGGCUCCGCAAGAUUAAAGGACAUUAUCCAAAUUCACGCAGAGGAGCUUGUGAGUGAGUUGCACGGAUGCAGACAGGUCUUCAGAAUUUAAAAUAGCUGGUAGACGGUGCAAUUAAAGGGAACAAAAUGACCUCACGCUUCCCUCGGGGCUGAUGAUUGCUUUGAACAUUAUUAUUUACGCGUAUACUUUGCAAGACCAAGGUGGCCUGGGAUCUCACUUCCUACAUUGUUCAUUCCAGCUGGCACAACCAAGCUAGGGGUUCUGGGGAGCACGGGGUCUCAAUACUUGUUUGAAUGAAGGAAGACCCCCCCCCCGUAGUUUGCAGGAGGACCCCAUAAGGUCCUUGAAACACAAGGAAGAGGUCUGCCGCCUGCCGGUCAUUCCUUACUAUCUCGAAGGAAGCAUCCUUCAAUAGGCCUACUCCAGCCCCAGCAUCCCCUCCUCCCAAGCUUGGGUUCCAGCCUCGUUCAUCAUUAUCCGGGUCCUUGAUGGAUGACCCUCAUCUCUCCCAUCCGGAGUGACUUUCUUAUUCAGAGCUAUCGUUUUAGUCUUGGCAAAGUGACCCAUUUUCUUCUGGGGUCCAAGUCUUUGACCUCCCAUUUCCCAGGUCUCCCUUCCUUCUGAAGAGUUCUUCCUUACUGUUUCAGAGCCUGUGUCGACCCCCCCCUCCCCAGACUGUCCUCCUCUCCUCUGUAAGCUCCUCAGAUAGUGCUGUGCCCCUCCUCCAUUUAUUAGAGAUGAAAUAAAUAAUGCCAUAAAUAAAAGUAUUUGGGAGUCCAGGAACUGUCAGGGCUGAUUAGGGCAUAGAGGACAUUUUCUUUCUCAUUAUGCAAAAGCAUUUCAUGGGGAAAUAAAAGAGGUUUCAUUGUAACUCAUGCAUGUCAUAUUUCAAGGAAUUCAAGAUAUUAAUCAUAUUUAACAUUAUUUGCAACGUUUUCUUCUCCCUGGCUUCUGAAAACUGCUAAAUGAGGACACGUGGAUCACCAGGAAGAAAGGGAGAGGAACAUGAGGGGGACAGUUGAGAAAUAAUGAAAGGCUGGUGAAGGAGACCGAGGGAGAUGCCAGGGAGACGUUUCUCAGGCGCACAAGUGUGCAUGUGCCCCGCCUGGACGCCUGUGGCCCGGGGACCUGGAACUGGUACCACCGAUGGUUGUGAGUCAUCACGUGGGUGCUGGGACUCGAACCUGAGUCCUCUGCAAGAACAGCAAGCGCUCUUGACCACUCAGCCAUCUCCCCAGCCCCUAAAACGGACACUGACUCCCAAGUGUGGAGCUAUACACUCCUUCAGACCUUGGACCACUCCUCCCGCUGAACUCAGCACUGUGUGUGCACGCGUGCAGCAGAGCUCCCUGAAGAGGAAGAAGCAUCUACUGAGUUAAAGAUCCUCAGGCUGCUUGACCUUGGCUGAUUAGAACUGUGGUUGUGGACUGAUGGGCAGUCAGGGCCGAAAGUACUCUGAGCCUCCUCGGCUCCUUAACAGCCAUUUACUUUCAACCUCUGUAUCUGGCCUAACAUCCCGGUGACCAGGUUAAGCUCUCACAGUACGUCACUGACCUUCAUGGACCUUUGGCUCCCGCCCACUCUGAAGAACAUUCUAACAUCUCAACCUGUAGAAAGCACUUCCGGCCUUGCGGUAGCUUCUCCACAGUUGUCUAGUGCUUUUGAAGACGUAACUGUUUAUCACCUUCCUGGUUCUGUGGCUGUGCAGACGGCCUCGUCUACCAUGGAACAUGUUGUUCAGAGAAGCCCGAGUCUACGUCCUGGGCCAUGACCACUUGUCUUUGGCUAAGAAUGAGCUGCUUCCUUUUUCCCUUGAAUGCCCAGCUGCUGCUUUACAGCUCUUUGAUACAAACAUAACAGAGCCAAGCACUUGCAAAGUCCUUCAUAAGGAGCACUCAGUAAACGUCUUGCUCUACUCUGUUGUCUAAGUCAUCAGACAAUGACUUUGCUGCUGUCUGCUCUUGGGGGCUGUACAGAGACAGAUAGGAUGACAACUAUAGUUAUGCUUUAAAUCUUUUUAGAUGUUUACUCUUAACUCAAAAAUAAGAGAUGGUGAAAGCCAAGGGGUUAUCUAUGGACAGGGUAAAAUUUUGAUUGGCAGCAUCUCAAUUCCUUGAGUCAUCCAGAAUAUAGCUUUUAAAUAAUAACCCAGCCAUGGGAAAUGCUUUUUAUUGCACCAAUUUCAAUGAUAUUUAAUGAGCUUCUGAUUGACUGUUUGAUCUCCCAAUGUUUUGUGCUACUUUUAAUUCAUUUCGUAUAAUAGAAAAAAAAAGUAAUUGGAAUAAAAUUUUGUGACAAGAUAAUGACCUUCCACUUUGAAAUUAAAUGUCUGAUUAGCUUCAACAUUUUAAUGCUGAGAUGAUGCUGCAGCAGGCACAGGAGUGCACCUACUGUCAUUCCAUGGAAAGUGACUGAGGAAUAUGCCCUCGCUUUGCUGAUCGUAUAGCCAAAGGGCGUGGUGGCUGUAGAAUCAGAGACGCACAGGCCUAGAAGGGAGUGGCGCAGUCGCCUGAACCCGUGUCUGCAGUUUUUAACAACUUGGAUACGUGCAUCUCUGAAUGCAUCGGCCAUUCACCCAGGUAUUAGUCCAGAAUAUUUAUUGUGUGUCUACUAUGUGUUAGGUGUCUUUAUGGGUUCUGAGGGAUAUAAUAGUGCAACAGAUUCCAGGGUAUCCUGGGAGAGCAAGGAGCAGAUGAUAAAUUAGUCACUGUUGUUGGGAGGCUGCUUGUUUGUUUCCCGGCUGCCCCGACUCCCAAAAUAAUCACACAGAAACUAUAUUAUUUAAAACACUGCUUGGCCAAUGACUCUAGCAUAUUCCUAGCAAACUAUUACGUAUUAAAUUAACCCAUUUCUAUUAUUUUAUAUUUUACCAUGAGGCUCGUGGCCUACCAGGAAGGUUCCAGCUGGCGACUUGCGUCUUUCUCCUCUAGCGACUCCAUGACUCCUGACUCUGCCUUCUUUCUUCCAGCAUUCAGCUUAGUUCCCACCCCCACCCCAGCUCUGCUCUACCCUAUCACAGGCCCAAAACAGCUUCUUUAUUAGCCAAUGGUGUUCACAGCAUACAGAGGGAAAUCCCACAUCACUUCCCCUUUUCUGUCUAAAUAAAAAGGAAGGUUUCACUUUAACAUAGUAAAAUUACAUAUAACAAAACAGGUAUCAAGUAAAAAUUAUAGUUACAAUAUUUAUAUCUACUUUAUCUUUUAUCAUAAGUGAGGAAAAGUAUAAUUAUAACUAUCUAUUCUUCAAUUCCAUCAAAGACUACAGAAGGAUAUAAUAUUACCUAAGUAAACAGGAAGUGCAUUGUAAGCAAUUUCCAAAACUCUAGAAUUAUCAGAGACAUCUCACUGCCUGGACA